rnacentral:rRNA from 1 species
CAGUAGCCACGGUAAUACGUAGGGUGCAAGCGUUAAUCGGAAUUACUGGGCGUAAAGCGUGCGUAGGCGGCUUUUUAAGUCGGAUGUGAAAUCCCUGAGCUUAACUUAGGAAUUGCAUUCGAUACUGGGAAGCUAGAGUAUGGGAGAGGAUGGUAGAAUUCCAGGUGUAGCGGUGAAAUGCGUAGAGAUCUGGAGGAAUACCGAUGGCGAAGGCAGCCAUCUGGCCUAAUACUGACGCUGAGGUACGAAAGCAUGGGGAGCAAACAGGAUUAGAUACCCCAGUAGUCCCUGUCUCUUAUAC